rnacentral:rRNA from 1 species
CGGGGAGACAGGUGGUGCAUGGUUGUCGUCAGCUCGUGUCGUGAGAUGUUGGGUUAAGUCCCGCAACGAGCGCAACCCCUAUUGCUAGUUACCAUCAUUAAGUUGGGGACUCUAGCGAGACUGCCAGUGAUAAACUGGAGGAAGGUGGGGAUGACGUCAAAUCAUCAUGCCCCUUAUGACCUGGGCUACAAACGUGAUACAAUGGCUGGAACAAAGGGAUGCGAAGCAGUGAUGUGGAGCGAAACCCAAUAAAAACAGUCUCAGUUCGGAUUGAAGUCUGCAACUCGACUUCAUGAAGUCGGAAUCGCUAGUAAUCGCGGAUCAGAACGCCGCGGUGAAUACGUUCUCGGGGUUU